rnacentral:rRNA from 1 species
UACGAAGGGGCUAGCGUUGCUCGGAAUCACUGGGCGUAAAGCGCGCGUAGGCGGUUACUUAAGUCGAAUGUGAAAGCCCUCGGCUUAACCGAGGAAGUGCAUCCGAAACUGAGUAGCUAGAGUACGAAAGAGGGUCGCGGAAUUCCCGGUGUAGAGGUGAAAUUCGUAGAUAGUCGGGAGGAACACCGGUGGCGAAGGCGGCGACCUGGGUCGAGACUGACGCUGAGGCGCGAAGCGUGGGGAGCAAACAGG